UACGAAGGGGGCUAGCGUUGUUCGGAAUCACUGGGCGUAAAGCGCACGUAGGCGGAUCUUUAAGUCCGGGGUGAAAUCCCGAGGCUCAACCUCGGAACUGCCUUUGAUACUGGGGAUCUCGAGUCCGGGAGAGGUGAGUGGAACUGCGAGUGUAGAGGUGAAAUUCGUAGAUAUUCGCAAGAACACCAGUGGCGAAGGCGGCUCACUGGCCCGGAACUGACGCUGAGGUGCGAAAGCGUGGGGAGCAAACAGG
rnacentral:rRNA from 1 species